GCUGGUGUAGCUCAGUUGGUAGAGCAGCGCAUUCGUAAUGCGCAGGUCCGCGGUUCAAAUCCGCGCACCAGCUCCA
rnacentral:tRNA from 1 species